rnacentral:rRNA from 1 species
GACGAACGCUGGCGGCGUGCUUAACACAUGCAAGUCGAACGGAAAGGCCCUGCUUUUGUGGGGUGCUCGAGUGGCGAACGGGUGAGUAACACGUGAGUAACCUGCCCUUGACUUUGGGAUAACUUCAGGAAACUGGGGCUAAUACCGGAUAGGAGCUCCUGCUGCAUGGUGGGGGUUGGAAAGUGUCGGCGGUUGGGGAUGGACUCGCGGCUUAUCAGCUUGUUGGUGGGGUAGUGGCUUACCAAGGCUUUGACGGGUAGCCGGCCUGAGAGGGUGACCGGCCACAUUGGGACUGAGAUACGGCCCAGACUCCUACGGGAGGCAGCAGUGGGGAAUAUUGCACAAUGGGCGGAAGCCGGAUGCAGCAACGCCGCGUGCGGGAUGACGGCCUUCGGGUUGUAAACCGCUUUCGCCUGUGACGAAGCGUGAGUGACGGUAAUGGGUAAAGAAGCACCGGCUAACUACGUG